UUAGCGGCGACAGUGAGGUCAGCUGGUAGAGGGGGAGAGGCGGCAUUAGCGCUGAUAAAAACGACCGACGGGCAAAUAUUUGAUCUGUGUUCUGACUAACACACAGCGUCCAAACCAAAUACAGACAGCCCGUUCGCCCAGGCCUGUAAAAAUUAGCUCAAGCCGUCCGUGUCGAAAAGCUCGUCGAGGCUGAGGAUUGACAUUCUGCGCUUGCUCGGACUCCUGCCAUCCGUUCAGAGCGUCAGAUUCAAGAUGAGCAACGUCGCUCAAUCAACUGAGAAGUCUCUCCUGACCUUUGGCGUCUUGACUGACGUUCAGUACGCUGACUGUGAUGACAAGCCAGCCGGCUAUGACCCAUCGCUCAUUCGCUACUACAGAAAUGCCCUGAUCCAGAGGACUGAGGCACAAAAACCUAUCAUGAAGCAGGAAGAGCAGGAGAGAAGACAGAACAGCCCAAAACACGUCCUUUUGGAAUUUGUAUAUAUGUACAUAUACACACGCACAAAAAGUGCACGUUGAUAAAAAGAAAAUAAAAAACGGUGAACUUUUCUGAAAACAGAAAACAGUAAGAUUACAGAUGGCA
rnacentral:misc_RNA from 1 species